rnacentral:tRNA from 1 species
GCCGUCGUAGCUCAAUUGGCAGAGCGCGGUCUUGGUACGACCGAGGAUCGCAGGUUCAAGUCCUGCCGACGGCUCCA